GGGAGAGGGAGAGAGGGAGAGAGAGAGAGAGAGAGGGAGAGAGGGAGAGGGGGAGAAUAUAAAUAUAGAUUAGGUACCGUGGAAAAUCCAGAGCUUCUCUGGGUCUCUAAUUACAUAAGAUCAUAAGAUGAAAAGGGUUAUUUUGGAAGACUCCGCAAUCCUGGUUACCGAUUAGGGCAGCACAUUCAAAUUCUGAGCAGCCCAUUUGAAAUUCCCAGUUUAGACACAGCAAAGAGAUCGCUGCUUCAUCUGAGACCCUCCAAGCGAAAAGGACAGGUUACUGUUAAAUAAGGAGAAUGAAAGAAAACAGGAAAGAACAGGGCCUCGGCUUUGCUACCUUGUGAAAACGCCGCUGAAUUGCCUGGAAACACUGGCCGAGGCGCCGAGGGGAUCCGGCCGGACCCCGGUCGCCUGAGUGUCGGCGUCGCGAGCCUGGGGUAGACAAAACACGUGCCUCUUGGAUCUGCACAAACACGUUUGUGUCAUCUCCACAAACAAGUUUCAGAAAGUGCGGGUGGUAGUAAACCACCUCCAGCGAAGACUAUGUGACAAGUCGUCGAUUCCCUUUCUCCGCAGAAUGUAAUAACGCUUGAUGCAAUUGAUCACUUAAAUUAUUUUCUCUGGACGUGUAGAAGUGAGGAUAAUUGCAGAAAUGAAACACACCAAAUGAAAGAACCGCAUUUAAAUGAAGUGCAGAUCACAAAGAUGAGACUAAUUAACAACAUAUGCCCUUGAUUAUUCAGACGUGGAGGAACAGAUUCCCUCUCUGAGCGCUGGUUGACCGAGAUGCAGGCUUUCCACCCUCCCCCUCCCACAGGAAGAGAAAAAAGAAACAGUUGAUUAAUUUGAACUGUCAGUCCCAGUAAAAUUAUAUUAGUUUGAUUUUUUUUUUGAAGCAAAAUGUACUCCAAAUUUUCCUCAAGUUGUGUAACCAGUUAUGGAAAUUAACAAGAUGAAAAUUAAAUGCAGUCUAACAUCUGAUGCUACAAAUGAUUAUAAAGGAAGUACAUAAAAUCAAGGGACAGAUAAACUGUGAUGGACAGGAAGUAUUUUAGGAAAAUCUACCCUUAAAGCAGUUUUUUAAAGUUCAUUUUUAAAGUAAAUUUUCAUUCUCAUUUUAUCAUUAUUUUAAAUAUACAAACGUAGUAAAAUAUGAAUGUAAUUCAUCAAAACUAUACGACAUAUGAAGCAUAAUUUUUCAAAAGAAAAUUUUGCACCCUAGGAUGGUUACUAUAACCCCUAAACUGGGUCUUUCAAUCUGUUCACAGAACUAGGAUAAAUGCACCCACACACCCCAGCCCACCCUUCACAGUGUAGGAAUCUUAGAAAACAUUAGCUUGUGAAACAUUUAGGAAACAAUUUGAAGUCCUUUGGAGGAGGGAGUUUGAAAUGCAAAUCAAAACCUCCAUACUCCUCAAUGAUCUGGAGCAAUAGUCCUUAGCCAAGAAACUGACACCUGCUCUCACUCACCCAGGCUCCUACCUAUUUUGAGCCCUGUUGACACCACACGUAAGUGGUAAUAAUAAAAUAUCUGCCAUAACCGCUUUUGAAUCGUCACAUAUAAGGUGUGGGUAAACUUCAUAUACCCUAGUAUAUUUCUACUAAUAGGAAAUGUUAUCAUCUAUGGAGUAUGCCUGGUUGUUCUUUUUACACCUUGACUUUAAGAUCAGAUCAGUAAUUUGGAGUUCCCCAUCAUGGCAGAGUGGAAGCAAAUCCAACUAGGAACCAUGAGGUUGCAGGUUCGAUCCCUGGCCUUGCUCAGUGGGUUAAAGAUCCUGCGUUGCCAGUGAGCUGUGGUGUAAGUCGCAGAUGUGGCGUAGGCUAGCAGCUACAGCUCCGAUUCGACUGCUAGCCUGGGAACCUCCAUAUGCCACAGGUGCAGCCCUAAAAAGACAAAAAGACAAAAAACAAACAAACAAACAAAAAAAAACCCAGAUCAGUAAUUUAAGGUUUCUGUUGCAAUUAGCAUACUUUUCUUCUUAUUUUUAUGCUUCUCUUUAUGUUUCCUGUUGAAGAGGAUUAUAUGAGUCCAAUACUCACAUCUGAAUACUUAUCAAUUUAUGGUUUCAACAUCCCUAGUAUCUUUUUGAGAGGAUUUUUUUUAUUAUGUUCAAAUACAACUAGAUAUUACGUAUCUAUUACCAACUAUUUCUGAGUCAAAACAAUGAUGCUAUUUAUUUCCUUCUGUGGGUUUAUAAUGAAAUGUUGCUGAGCUGUACAGUGUUUUACAUAAGAAUCCUCCCUCAAGAUGUACCUUUAACUUAUUUAGCCAAGGUGUUCUAACCUGCUGAGCCAUCAGUUGGGUCUAGAGGACUUUGAUGACAAAUUGAAAUUAUAGCAGAAGAAAAAAGAAAACCAUGGACUUGGAGAACAGACGUGUGGUUGCCAAGGGGGAGGGGGAGGGAGUGGGAUGGACUGGGAGUUUGGGGUUAAUAGAUGCAGACUAUUGCCUUUGGAAUGGAUAGCAAUGAGAGCCUGCUGUAGAGCCCUGGGAACUAUAUCUAGUCACUUAUGAUGGAGUGUGAUAAUGUGAGAAAAAGUAUGUACGACUGGGUCACCUUGCUGUACAGGAGAAGAUUGACAGAACACCGUAAACCAGCCAUAAUGGAAAAAAUAAAGAUCAC
ensembl:lncRNA